rnacentral:rRNA from 1 species
AUACGUAGGGGGCGAGCGUUGUCCGGAAUGAUUGGGCGUAAAGGGCGCGUAGGCGGCCCGGUAAGUCUGGAGUGAAAGUCCUGUUUUUAAGAUGGGAAUUGCUUUGGAUACUGUCGGGCUUGAGUGCAGGAGAGGUAAGUGGAAUUCCCAGCGUAGCGGUGAAAUGCGUAGAGAUUGGGAGGAACACCAGUGGCGAAGGCGACUUACUGGACUGUAACUGACGCUGAGGCGCGAAAGUGUGGGGAGCAAACAGGAUUAGAUACCCUGGUAGUCCACACUGUAAACGAUGAAUGCUAGGUGUAGGGGGUAUCGACCCCUUCUGUGCCGCAGUCAACACAAUAAGCAUUCCGCCUGGGGAGUACGGCCGCAAGGUUGAAACUCAAAUGAAUUGGCGGGG